GACGUAGGAGGCGAGCGUUGUCCGGAUUCAUUGGGCGUAAAGAGCGCGCAGGCGGCUUGGUAAGUCGGGUGUGAAAACUUUGGGCUCAACCCAAAGCGUGCACUCGAUACUGCCAUGACUAGAGUUCGGUAGGGGAGUGGAGAAUUCCUAGUGUAGCGGUGAAAUGCGUAGAGAUCGGAAAGAACACCAACGGCGAAAGCACUCUGCUGGGCCGACACUGACACUGAGAGACGAAAGCUAGGGGAGCGAAUGGG
rnacentral:rRNA from 1 species